rnacentral:tRNA from 1 species
GUGGCUGUAGCUCAGUUGGUUAGAGCGUCUGGUUGUGGCCCAGAAGGCCGCCGGUUCAAGUCCGGUCAGUCACCCCA